rnacentral:rRNA from 1 species
UACGUAGGGGGCGAGCGUUAUCCGGAUUCACUGGGUGUAAAGGGAGCGUAGACGGUAUGUCAAGCCAGAUGUGAAAAGCCUGGGCUCAACCCGGGUCCUGCAUUUGGAACUGAUAGACUGGAGUACAGGGUGGGCAGGCGGAAUUCCUGGUGUAGCGGUGAAAUGCGUAGAUAUCAGGAGGAACACCGGUGGCGAAGGCGGCCUGCUGGACGGAUACUGACGUUGAGGCUCGAAAGCGUGGGGAGCAAAC